rnacentral:rRNA from 1 species
UGAUCCUGGCUCAGGAUGAACGCUAGCUACAGGCUUAACACAUGCAAGUCGAGGGGAAACGACAUCGAAAGCUUGCUUUUGAUGGGCGUCGACCGGCGCACGGGUGAGUAACGCGUAUCCAACCUGCCCAUCACUUGGGGAUAACCUUGCGAAAGUAAGACUAAUACCCAAUGACGUCUCUAGAAGACAUCUGAAGGAGAUUAAAGAUUUAUCGGUGAUGGAUGGGGAUGCGUCUGAUUAGCUUGUUGGCGGGGUAACGGCCCACCAAGGCGACGAUCAGUAGGGGUUCUGAGAGGAAGGUCCCCCACAUUGGAACUGAGACACGGUCCAAACUCCUACGGGAGGCAGCAGUGAGGAAUAUUGGUCAAUGGGCGAGAGCCUGAACCAGCCAAGUAGCGUGCAGGAUGACGGCCCUAUGGGUUGUAAACUGCUUUUAUAAGGGAAUAAAGUGAGUCUCGUGAGACUUUUUGCAUGUACCUUAUGAAUAAGGACCGGCUAAUUCCGUGCCAGCAGCCGCGGUAAUACGGAAGGUCCGGGCGUUAUCCGGAUUUAUUGGGUUUAAAGGGAGCGUAGGCCGGAGAUUAAGCGUGUUGUGAAAUGUAGACGCUCAACGUCUGCACUGCAGCGCGAACUGGUUUCCUUGAGUACGCACAAAGUGGGCGGAAUUCGUGGUGUAGCGGUGAAAUGCUUAGAUAUCACGAAGAACUCCGAUUGCGAAGGCAGCUCACUGGAGCGCAACUGACGCUGAAGCUCGAAAGUGCGGGUAUCGAACAGGAUUAGAUACCCUGGUAGUCCGCACGGUAAACGAUGGAUGCCCGCUGUUGGUCUGAAUAGGUCAGCGGCC